AAAGAAGAGGCGGUGGAGUCGAGAGAGAGAGAGAGAGAGAUCCAGCGAGGGAGUAUAUAAGGAAUCAGAGAGCAGAGGAAUUCCUCUCGAUCUCUGAUUUCUGAUCUCUCUCUUGGAUUUCUAUGCCCUAUUUAGGGUUUUUUUUGGUCUCUUGAUGAUCGAUCUCCUGGUGAUUCAACAAGUAGGGCUUGUGAUUUGAGCCGAAGUUUUGAGAUCUAGCGAAGUUGGGUGAUUUACUUUUGAUUCGUCAUCGGAUAUUUCAAGGAUGGAGAAUUUCCCACUUAGAUAUAGUGCAUUUGGACAAGUACAUCCUGAUCUUAUUGUGCCUAGCGUGACUAGAGGUGAAAUCCUCUGUCCUGAACCUCGCCGUGCUAAAAGAAUCCCUUUUGUCUUAGAGAAUUAUGGCAGGAUCAGUCCCAAGCCUAAGAGAAAAUAAGGUUUAUUAUUAGAUGGAUUUCCAAAUAUUGCUGGCUCCACCUGAAUUUCCAGAUGGUUGGCCGACAUUAUUUUACCUGUGCCUAGGAAGGAGAGUGUUUUGGAGGUUUUGGAUGCGAUACUAGAUAAGGAUGAAUACAAUGAAAAUGAUUUAGAUUCCAGUAACCAAGCGAGUUUCUUUUGCGGAUCACCACCACCACGGACGAGCAAUCCAGUAGUCAACGAUGCACAAUUUAUGAACCAAACCCGGGCAGUAGCUUCGCCUUCAGGAUUUUACUGUGAUAUGAAGCCUUCGGCAAGAAUCAAAAGAGGUUCCCCUACUUGUGGGUCUUCAAAAGACACAAAUCCGAAACUAACGAUUGAAGGUUUCGCUUGCAGGAGUCCAGACUCUCGUGGUGUAGUCCCGCCGGCAUUUGCCUGAUUAUCUUGGAAACUAUCUUUUACCUCCUGUAAAAAAUUUUGACAGCCCUGCUUUGGUCCUGAGAUCUCCAUUGCAUCUAUACCCUUCACACAGCAUUCAUUUAGCCAGCCUGUACAUACCACCAAGUUCUUGUAAAUACUAGUCCUGUCUAUAGUGGUUUUAUGAGUUGUUUGUGCUGCUCAUAAUGUUUAAAGCUAGAUUGAGUUGUGAUCAUGUAUAUGAAGUGUCCUUUUUGUAAAUAGUGGAAUUUGUGAAGAUUUGAGUUUAGAGCCUUCUGUUCAUAA